UGGGAUGUAGCUCAGCGGUAGAGCACUUAGCUCAUGAAAAGUGCCCUGGCUUCAAUUCCCAGCACCACAA
rnacentral:tRNA from 1 species